GAUGAAGAACGUAGCGAAAUGCGAUACUUGGUGUGAAUUGCAGAAUCCCGUGAACCAUCGAGUCUUUGAACGCAAGUUGCGCCCGAAGCCACUAGGCCGAGGGCACGCCUGCCUGGGCGUCACACGUCGUUGCCCCCCCCCCAUCUACUCCUUCGGGAUUGCGGGGGGCGGAUGAUGGCCUCCCGUGCGCCUAGCCGCGCGGUUGGCAUAAAUACCAAGUCCUCGGCGACGCACGCCACGACAAUCGGUGGUUGCGAAACCUCGGUUGCCCGUCGUGUGCGUUCGUCGCGCUUCGAGGGCUCGAAAAAAUGCUCGGCUCCGGCUCGGCUUUCAACGCGACCCCAGGUCAGGCGGGGUUACCCGCUGAAUUUAAGCAUAUCAAUAAGCGGAGGA
rnacentral:misc_RNA from 1 species